UUCGGACUGUAGUCUGCAACCCGACUACACGAAGCCGGAAUCGCUAGUAAUCGCGAAUCAGAAUGUCGCGGUGAAUACGUUCCCGGGUCUUGUACACACCGCCCGUCACACCAUGGGAGUCGGAAAUGCCCGAAGUCAGUGACCCAACCGCAAGGAGGGAGCUGCCGAAGGCAGGUCCGGUAACUGGGGUGAAGUCGUAACAAGGUAAC
rnacentral:rRNA from 1 species